rnacentral:rRNA from 1 species
CUAAUACCGAAUACGAUCUUUUCGUCGCAUGACGGAAAGAAGAAAAAGGAAUGGCCUCUAUACAAAGCUAUCGCCGAAGGAGGGGUUUGCGUCUGAUUAGCUGGUUGGAGGGUAACGGCCCAACAAGGCGAUGAUCAGUAGCCGGUCUGAGAGGAUGAACGGCCACAUUGGGACUGAGACACGGCCCAGACUCCUACGGGAGGCAGCAGUGGGGAAUCUUCCGCAAUGGACGAAAGUCUGACGGAGCAACGCCGCGUGAGUGAAGAAGGUCUUCGGAUUGUAAAACUCUGUUAUACGGGACGAAAAAGACGGAUGCCAACAGUAUCCGUCCGUGACGGUACCGUAAGAGAAAGCCACGGGCUAACUACGUGCCAGCAGCCGCGGUAAAU